ACUGUGUUAUAAUAUCACUGACAGUUGGCUGUGGAAUGUUUAGUAGUGAGUAGAGAAAAAUUUCACGAUCCACUCACAGUACCACAGUGCUGGAGUUCACUGAGAGCCUGAGACCCAUUCUUUUACUAAUGUUUGUAGAAGCAGUCCCAGCAUGCCUAGCUGCUGCUUUUACUAUUAUACACCUGUGGACAUGGAAGUGAUUAAUUGAAACCUGAGUUCGAUGAUUUGGACAGGGAAAGAAUUGUAAUAGUCUGUAGAACCUUCUCACUCAAUGCUAACGCUGUUUUUUUGUUAUUUAGGUGCCAAAUCCAACAGCAUUGAGGACACCUCGGCUCACGUGACGUCGCUUGGUUAUUCUACUUAUCCUCUUCAGCCGCAGGUAAGCUAAGCUUGGGGUGGACUUUUACUCUAAUAUUUGGUUGAACCACCUUUAGCUUUGAUUGCAGCUUUACACAUUCACUGUGUCAUUGCUUCAAUAAGCUUCUGCAACGUCACAAGAUUUAUUUCAAUCCAGUGUUGCUGGAUUAAUUGUUCACCAAGAUCUUGCAGCAGCAUUGAUGAUGGUAGAGUCUGACCACUGCACAAAGCAGCUCUUCUCCAUCCAGCACAUCCCAAAGAUUCUCAAUGAGGUUAAGAUCUGGACUCUGUGGUGAACUCUCUCUCUCAAUCCAUGUGUGAAAAUGAUGAUCUCAUGUUUCCUGAAUCACUGUUUCAGCCCCAUGAAUUCUGGCAUUGUUAUCUUGGAAUAUGCUCGUGUUCAUCAGGGAAGAAAAAUCCAUUGAUGGAAUAACCUGGUCUAUAUUCAGUAUAUUCAGGUAGUCAGCUGAUCUCAUUCUUUCAGCACAUACUGUUGCUGAACCUAAACCUGCAGACCAACUGCAGCAUCAACCAACCCCACAUCAUUUACUUACUUAAAUCCAGGUGGAGACGUUUUUUGACCAGACAGUAUAUAUAUAUAUAUGUACUGUACUACUGUGGGAUGGAAUGAAGGUCUUACGCACAGCAUGUGUUUUGUGUGUUUUGGGUGUUUUUUUCACAGAUGUCAAGCUACAUGUUAUCCCAAGAAAGGAGAGACUGGAGAGAUUACGGCACAGACCACCCUCACCACCAGCCCCCCCACGCAGAGCUGCCCUACUGCCCUCCGUACCCACCGGCUCGGCCUCUACAGUGGCACGCGCCACCCUGCGACAACGGUUAUCAGAUAUCCGGCUCGUUUUAUACCUACACCCCAACAGAGUCACAUCCCGUCUCAGUGGACCCCAGCAUGAGAUCAGCGGAGGCCAUGGCCAUCUCUGGUAAACAUAAAAACACACAUACACACAAAAUUUAAUUAACCCUUGUGUGGUGUUCAUAUUUUUGUUACUCGUUUACUUUGUUACUUGUAUUUAAU
rnacentral:lncRNA from 1 species